CAUUGCUUUUGUGGAAGACUGGUGAUAUGUUGUAAAGCUCCCCUACCAUACAGCGUAUCGCAGUUUUUCCCUAAAAACAUU
rnacentral:pre_miRNA from 2 species